AUUGGCCUAUCAGCUUGUUGGUGAGGUAACGGCUCACCAAGGCGACGACGGGUAGCCGGCCUGAGAGGGCGACCGGCCACACUGGGACUGAGACACGGCCCAGACUCCUACGGGAGGCAGCAGUGGGGAAUAUUGCACAAUGGGCGAAAGCCUGAUGCAGCGACGCCGCGUGAGGGAUGACGGCCUUCGGGUUGUAAACCUCUUUCAGCAGGGAAGAAGCGCAAGUGACGGUACCUGCAGAAGAAGCACCGGCUAACUACGUGCCAGCAGCCGCGGUAAUACGUAGGGUGCGAGCGUUGUCCGGAAUUAUUGGGCGUAAAGAGCUUGUAGGCGGUUUGUCGCGUCUGCUGUGAAAAUCCGGGGCUCAACCCCGGACUUGCAGUGGGUACGGGCAGACUAGAGUGUGGUAGGGGAGACUGGAAUUCCUGGUGUAGCGGUGAAAUGCGCAGAUAUCAGGAGGAACACCGAUGGCGAAGGCAGGUCUCUGGGCCAUAACUGACGCUGAGAAGCGAAAGCAUGGGGAGCGAACAGGAUUAGAUACCCUGGUAGUCCAUGCCGUAAACGUUGGGCGCUAGGUGUGGGACUCAUUCCACGAGUUCCGUGCCGCAGCUAACGCAUUAAGCGCCCCGCCUGGGGAGUACGG
rnacentral:rRNA from 1 species